rnacentral:rRNA from 1 species
AGGACUAACGCUGGCGGCGUGCCUAACACAUGCAAGUCGAACGGACUGUAGCAAUACAGUUAGUGGCAGACGGGUGAGUAACGCGUAGAUAACGUGCCCCUCCGCUGGGGAUAGCCACUGGAAACGGUGGGUAAAACCGAAUACUCUUGCCUGAGGACAUCCUCGGGUAAGGAAAACUUUCGAGUGCGGAGGGAGCGGUUUGCGUCCUAUUAGCUAGUUGGUAAGGUAAAAGCUUACCAAGGCGACGAUGGGUAGCCGGUCUGAGAGGAUGAUCGGCCACACUGGCACUGAGAUACGGGCCAGACUCUUACGGGAGGCAGCAGUGAGGGAUUUUGCGCAAUGGAGGAAACUCUGACGCAGCGACGCCGCGUGCGGGACGAAGCCGUUUCGGGUGUAAACCGCUGUCAGUGGAGAAGAGAAUGGACGGUACCCACUGAGGAAGCCUCGGCUAACUACGUGCCAGCAGCCGC